GCAAGUCGAACGGUAACAGGGAAAAGCUUGCUCUUGAUGACGAGUGGCGCACGGGUGCGUAACGCGUAUGCAACUUACCCCAAACUGGAGAAUAGCCUUUAGAAAUGAAGAAUAAUACUCCAUAGUAUUUCCGAGAGGCAUCUCUUGGAUCUUAAAGCUUCGGCGGUUUGGGAUGGGCAUGCGUUCUAUUAGUUAGUUGGUAAGGUAACGGCUUACCAAGACCGCGAUAGAUAGGGGGCCUGAGAGGGUUAUC
rnacentral:rRNA from 1 species